CAGAUUACUUCUCCUGGAGAAUAUUGUGAGUCUACAGCAUUGAUGCAGAACACGCUGCUUUGUGUGCUCCCCUGAUCUCAGUGGGAAAUGGCACUAGAAGCAUGGAGCCAGCAAAGAUCCCCUCCUGCUGACACAAAAGCUUCCAAAAUUACAUAAUUCCUUCAGAUCAACUCAAGUUUAUGCAUUCAGGUUGAAGAAAACAAACAAAAACCAACAAACAGACCAAA